rnacentral:lncRNA from 1 species
UGCCCUCAAAAAAUCAGAGAACUGCCUGCCUCUGCUUCCUCUGUGUUAGGUUGAAGGCGUGGAUUGUCAUAGUCCGCUGCCUAUUUUCAUUAAAUUCUAUUAAUUCUAUUCACUCAUUUUGUGUGUACACAAGCCACCGUGCAUGUGUGAAGGUUAAAACACAGCUUGGAGUCAGUUCUCUCCUUCCACCACAUAGGUUCCUGGGAUCCAACUCAGUUUUUCAGGCUGGGUGGUGGGAUCCUUUACCCAUGAUCCACCUUGAUGGCCCUGGGACUCCUCCUGAAAUCAGUAGGUUAAGCCCUUAGCACAGGACUGAGGCCAGUGAGAGUGCUGUCUGGUGACAGGGCCAUGCUGGUGGGUGUCAUCAGAGGCCAUCCUUCCUACAGGGCCCUGUGUGAGGGGUACUCUUGUCUGCAGUGCAAGGCAGUGUCUCCUCAGAUUCAAGCUGCUCCCUUAAGAGCCUUGAAGCAAUAUACGCAUAUACAGAUGCUAUAAACUAUAUUAUUUAUACACUUUAUUACAUAUAAAUUACUCCAUUAGAAAAACACAGUCUUGUUUUUUCCUCUCCAGUCUUGGAUUUGAACCCUUGAACCAGGGUUCAAGUAUACAUCAGACAAACACUAGCCUAUGUUGACAUGCUUGUGAGGCAAGGCAGGCUGAUGCUGCUUUCUUUCUUUUCUUUUCUUUUCUUUCUUUUCUUAAAGGCAGGGCCUCCUAGA